UGCUUCACACAGAAAUGGAUCUAGAACUUUUCCUUAGCAUUUCUUGAUUCUCUUCUUAAAAAAAUCUAGUAGUCCCUCUCUCUCUUUUCUUUUUGGCAUGCACCCUCCUUUGGGCAUGAAACAAUUUCUACAUGAGGUUGGAGGUAGGGCAUCCAACAACUUGGGCGUGCAACAAGUAGGGCAUGAGACAAGAGGGGGUG
rnacentral:lncRNA from 1 species